AAAACGGUUUGCGCCGUCGACGAUUGCAGCUUCCUCUAUCUCUCUUGGAAACGCCUCGAAAAACUGUUUCAUCAAGAGGACGUUGGCUGAGGCGACGAAAACGACGAUUACGCUCCAGGGUGUGUUCAGAAGCGACAGAUCCCUGAAAAUCAGAUAGUUUGACA
rnacentral:sRNA from 1 species